rnacentral:rRNA from 1 species
UGCCAGCCGCCGCGGUAAUACAUAGGGGUCAAGCGUUGUCCGGAUUUAUUGGGCGUAAAGAGCGCGUAGGUUGCUUGUUAAGCGAGAUGUGAAAGCCCCGGGCUUAACCUGGGAACUGCAUUUCGAACUGGCAGGCUAGAGUACGGUAGAGGGUAGUGGAAUUUCCUGUGUAGCGGUGAAAUGCGUAGAGAUGGGAAGGAACAUCAGUGGCGAAGGCGACUGCCUGGACUGAUACUGACACUGAGGUGCGAAAGCGUGGGUAGCGAACAGGAUUAGAUA